rnacentral:lncRNA from 1 species
UUCACCUGUUCCCCGUUGUACCCUGGGCUGCUGCCAUGAGCAGGUCCCCCAAGCACAAGGUCUCCCUGGGCCUAGGUCUAGGCCUAGUGCCAGGGCUGUGAAUCUUGGAACAGCCCCUGUGUGAUCCCCUCCCCACCGCCCCGGUGCCAGCCUCAUAAACUGGUGUCCUUCUCCCCAUCCAAAGCAAGAGGCUCAGGAGAAGUGUUGAUGCCUGGCCAGGCGCAAUGGGCCUGGUUGAUGAGGCCUCUGGGCCUCUGGGAGGCCCCCCGGGGGCCGGGGUUCUAGCAGCUUUGUCCCCGAUGCUUCCUGAGUUCUUGAAACUGCCUGGCACAAGGAGGGCUCAAACAUUUGCCAUGUUGAAUGUAAUGGGGGCUGCCAACCCCUUUGCUGAGGGACGCAGGCCUCCAGGGCCCGGGGGUGUUGCCCAGCUCCGUGUGCUCGCAGGGGCCCCCUGAAUGCAGGCGGACCCAGUGCCCUGCUGUGCCCAGCCAGGGGCUGAGUGGGGCAGCAGAGAGUACCCCAGUACGGGCUCAGCCUGACCCCACC